AAACUUUCAACAAUGGAUCUCUUGGCUCUGGCAUCGAUGAAGAACGCAGCGAAAUGCGAUAAGUAGUGUGAAUUGCAGAAUUCAGUGAAUCAUCGAAUCUUUGAACGCACAUUGCGCCCUUUGGUAUUCCUUAGGGCAUGCCUGUUCGAGCGUUAUUU
rnacentral:rRNA from 1 species